rnacentral:rRNA from 1 species
AGGGAAUCUUCCGCAAUGGACGAAAGUCUGACGGAGCAACGCCGCGUGAGUGAAGAAGGCCUUCGGAUCGUAAAGCUCUGUUGCCAGGGAAGAACGUCUUCUGGAGUAACUGCCAGGAGAGUGACGGUACCUGAGAAGAAAGCCCCGGCUAACUACGUGCCAGCAGCCGCGGUAAUACGUAGGGGGCAAGCGUUGUCCGGAAUUAUUGGGCGUAAAGCGCGCGCAGGCGGCUGUUUAAGUCUGGUGUUUAAUCCUGGGGCUCAACCCCGGGUCGCACUGGAAACUGGACGGCUUGAGUGCAGAAGAGGAGAGUGGAAUUCCACGUGUAGCGGUGAAAUGCGUAGAGAUGUGGAGGAACACCAGUGGCGAAGGCGACUCUCUGGGCUGUAACUGACGCUGAGGCGCGAAAGCGUGGGGAGCAAAC